GACGAACGCUGGCGGCGCGCCUAACACAUGCAAGCCGAACGAGCGAGAGAGAGCUUGCUUUCUCGAGCGAGUGGCGAACGGGUGAGUAACGCGUGAGGAACCUGCCUCAAAGAGGGGGACAACAGUUGGAAACGACUGCUAAUACCGCAUAAGCCCACGACCCGGCAUCGGGUAGAGGGAAAAGGAGCAAUCCGCUUUGAGAUGGCCUCGCGUCCGAUUAGCUAGUUGGUGAGGUAGCGGCCCACCAAGGCGACGAUCGGUAGCCGGACUGAGAGGUUGAACGGCCACAUUGGGACUGAGACACGGCCCAGACUCCUACGGGAGGCAGCAGUGGGGAAUAUUGCACAAUGGGGGAAACCCUGAUGCAGCGACGCCGCGUGGAGGAAGAAGGUCUUCGGAUUGUAAACUCCUGUUGUUGAGGAAGAUAAUGACGGUACUCAACAAGGAAGUGA
rnacentral:rRNA from 1 species